CUUUAAAACAUGGUGGAAAAUUAAAUUUGUAUAUGAUAAAAAGUGGGGUUUAAAGCGUUUUGAGCCACAACUAGGCGGUGUCUAUUGAAAAGAAAGAAAGCGAAAAGAUCACGCGCAUA